GUACACUCCUACGGGAGGCAGCAGUGGGGAAUUUUGGACAAUGGGGGCAACCCUGAUCCAGCAAUGCCGCGUGAGUGAAGAAGGCCUUCGGGUUGUAAAGCUCUUCUGUCAGGGAAGAAACGGUGGUGGCGAAUAACUACUACUAAUGACGGUACCUGAAGAAUAAGCACCGACUAACUACGUGCCAGCAGCCGCGGUAAUACGUAGGGUGCAAGCGUUAAUCGGAAUUACUGGGCGUAAAGCGUGCGCAGGCGGUUGUGUAAGUCAGAUGUGAAAUCCCCGGGCUCAACCUGGGAAUUGCAUUUGAGACUGCACGGCUAGAGUGUGUCAGAGGGGGGUAGAAUUCCACUUGUAGCAGUGAAAUGCGUAGAUAUGUGGAGGAAUACCGAUGGCGAAGGCAGCCCCCUGGGAUAACACUGACGCUCAUGCACGAAAGCGUGGGGAGCAAACAGGAUUAGAUACCCGUGUAGUCCC
rnacentral:rRNA from 1 species